UGACCAACCACCAUCAGUCAUGAAAAAUCCCAUGUGGUGCAGAGUAUGGCGGUGGAUAGUGUUGGAGUGAGAAAGCCUAGCUACUGCCUCCCCCUCAAAGCUAACUCCAAACCUCCUGAAUACUAAAGUAAGAGCCAUACCGAAAGGCAAAUGUGCCUUGGACCUAUUCAAGGUCUCUCUCAUAGCUUCAAUCAUUAAUGCCGGGAGGUUCAGGGGGGUUUGAGUAA
rnacentral:lncRNA from 1 species